CAUGACUCGGCAAAAGUAACAUCGGUCUCAGUCUAAACGUUUGGGUAUAUUGAACAGAAAGUGAGCUCAAAAAGACAUGCAAGGUGAGGUGGAGGAGAGAGGACACUGGGGAAGUAAGGUGGAGUUUCUCCUGGCUGUUGCAGGGAAUGUCGUCGGCGUGGGCAAUGUGUGGAGGUUUCCUUACCUCUGCUACAAAAAUGGAGGGGGUGCAUUCUUGGUGCCAUAUCUGGUAUUUGUGGUGACCUGUGGCAUACCCCUGUUCCUGCUGGAGACGACCAUAGGCCAGUACACUCAGGAGGGCGGCAUCACCUGUUGGAGGAAGUUAUGUCCACUGGCAGAAGGUAUUGGCUAUGCAGGGCAGCUGAUCCUCCUCUACAGCUGUCCAACUUACCUUAUUAUUCUGUCCUGGGCGUUGCUCUACCUCGUGUUCUCCUUCAGCCCCCAGCUUCCCUGGGCCAGCUGCAACAACUACUGGAACACAGAUGACUGUGUAGACUUUUCAACAAACAAUGACAGUGUACCGUGGACCAACCUGACGAACUCGACCUCUGCAGCCACAGAAUUCUGGGAACGACGUGUGCUGGCUAUCUCAGGGGGCAUUGAGGACUUAGGCAGCAUCAGGUGGGAGGUGCUGUUGUGCCUAAUUACUAUCUGGAUCAUCUGCUACUUUUGUAUCUGGAAAGGUGUUAAGUCUACAGGCAAGGUAGUAUAUUUCACUGCUACCUUUCCCUAUGUGAUGCUGUUCAUUCUCCUGAUUCGUGGACUCACUCUUCCUGGUGCACUACAAGGAGUGAAGUUUUAUCUUCUGCCUGAACUCUCACGGCUCACAGAUCCUCAGGUGUGGAUGGAGGCUGGGACUCAGAUCUUCUUCUCAUACAGUAUUGGUGUGGGCUCUAUAAUCGUAUUAGGCAGCUACAACAAGUACAACAACAACUGCUACAGGGACUGUCUGUGGCUGUGUCUGCUGAACAGUGGUACCAGUGUUGUAGCUGGGUUUGCAGUUUUCUCAGUGCUUGGAUUCAUGGCUCAUGAGCAGGGCGUUCCCAUUGCAGAGGUGGCAGAGUCAGGUCCAGGCUUGGCGUUCAUUGCUUAUCCUCAGGCUGUAGCCAUGAUGCCUCUGCCUCAACUGUGGUCCAUCUGUUUCUUUGUCAUGCUCAUUCUCUUGGGUCUGGACACAGAAUUUAUCACCAUGGAGGUGGUCAUGACGUCCUUCACAGAUUUGUUUCCAAAUGUUAUGCGCAGGGCAGGCCGACGGGAGAAGUUACUCGUCCUCUUCUGCCUAAUAUGCUUUUUAUGUCAACUUGUCAUGAUCACUCAAGGAGGGAUGUAUGUGUUCCAGAUGAUGGACUACUAUGCUUGUAACGGAGUCUGCAUCCUCUUUAUUGGUGUAUUUGAAACACUGGCACUGGGACGAUUAUUUGGGGCAGAUCGGUUGUAUGGCAUCAUUAAGGACAUGACUGGGGUGAAGGCCAACCCUUUUUUCAAAAUCUGCUGGCUCUACCUCACACCGCUGGUCUCACUGGGCGCUUUUAUAUAUUCUUUAGUUGAGUACCAGCCUCUGACAUUUAAUCGCUGGUACGUGUACCCAGACUGGGCAUAUGUGUUGGGAUGGAUGAUGACUCUCUCAUCCGUUGUGCUUGUGCCUGGAUGUGCGCUGUUUAAGCUAAUCACUGGGACUGGGACCCUCAGACAGGAAACCCCCUGGUAGAAAAUGGACAUCUCAAGGAGCGAAUGAAUAAUACGGGUCGCCGUCUUCAACAGCUCCUCAUUGAAAAGGAGCAGUUCUUCAAGUGGGCAGAGGCCAGCAAGGUCAGAACCUGCAAACUAAAGGACCUGCUGAUUGACCAGAGCAGGCAGAUAAGGCAGCUGCAAGAAAAGCUGGGGCCUGAGAGCCACAACAGCACCCAGCAAGACCAGGCCUCCUCAGAGACACCAGCUCCCACCAUGACAUGAGCCAACGUGGUCAAAGGUCUGGGUAAGGCCAAACAACCAGUCAUCCUGAGAGAGGACCAGGCCUCUUCAGAGACACCAGCUCCAACCAUGACAUCGGCCAAUGUCGUUAAGGCUGAAGAAGAGGUCUAACAACCGGUCAUCCAGAGCGAAGACCAGGCCUCUUCCCAGACCCAGACUACAACCAUGAAUUGGGCCGAUGUCAUGGAAGCAGAGGAUGAGGUCAGGGAGCAGCUUCGGCUCAGAGAAGCUGAGGUUCUCCAACUCAAGCGGGAGAACGAGGGCCUCUUAGCAAUGCUGCAGGAAGCUCAAAACACGAAGAAAUGGGGGCCCUGAAAAACCAAGUGAUAUUCUUGGAGAACAAGAAUAAAAGUGCAGGAAGAAAACAACAAACUGCAGGAGGACAAACAAUCAGUGAUAGAAAAGACUAAAGAACUGGAGGGUAAGAUCUGGCUGAUUGAGCACAACAACAUCUCUCACAUAGAGCUCAAUAGCGAGAUGAAGGAAAAUAUUAAAACACUCCAGACAGAAAAGACAGAGCUUGAAGGCCAUUAUAAUCGCAGAUUCCUUCAGAUCAAGAAUCUGGAGAAACUGCUUUUCCAAGAAUCUCGCAGAAGUCAAGAGAUGGUGAAGAGCGUUGAGCUCAUGGAAAAGCAGAUCGCCAUCAGAGACCAGGAACUCCAUCGAAUCACUGGCAUCAAUGACAGCCUCUCAGCAGCGCUCUUCAAAACAAAGGAGCUGCUGCUGGAAGCCGGCAAUGAAAUCGAAGAGAAAGAACAGACCUGGAAGACUGAGCAUCAAUGUUUAGAGCAGCUCAGGAAUGAUGUUGCUCUGAAAGAACAAGAAAAUCAGGAACUGCUUAGGAAACAAACAGAGACAGACGACCUGCAGGAAAGAAUCAGACGAUUGGAACAAAACAAUCAGGAACUGCAGGAACUUUGGAUCCAAAAGAAAAACAAAAAGACUCUCUUUAAGUUUUUCAGGAGGACCAAAGGUAGAAAGAAUAACAAAAAACAGACUGAAGAGGUGAUCGAGGAGAGAGAAGAACAACAGGAGCAGGAGAAGAAGGCGAAGAUUAAGAAGAUGAGCUUCUGGAGUUGGUUCAAGAGCGACAGGAAGGUGGAGGAGGCUGCUGGUAGUUCAGCGUAGCCUCCUCUUUCCUCCAUCUCCUCACCCCCUCUACCUUCUUCCUCUUCACCUCUUCAACGUCUCUCACCCUCAUCCUCUCUGUUUCUUCCCUUUCUUUCCAUCUUUUCUUUUCCCUAACCCCCCCGCCCCUACUCCCCUACCACUACUACCUAUCCACUUACUAUCAGUCCGGCCAAUUAUGGCUCCAAUAUUUGGAACUUUUUUGAUUAUUGGUAUUGUCUAUUGACUAAUUAGUUUAAAAGACAUUAACCUUACUGGGCAAAAAAAAUGGCAGGUUUCCGGUUAUCACAUGUUGAUAAUACAUAGUGCUUCAUGUUUAUAUGUACAAUUUCUAAAAUGGUAAUCCUUAUUAAUGAUUAUUUGCUAUUAGUUGCAUUAUCUGUGCUUCUGAUAGUCCAGUUAUGAGUGGCCGGUAUGUGCUAUCACACAUACUGUUAGCAAAUAGCUUCUCAUGAUGUUCGUUCAACAUAGUAGUUAUUGAGUUUCUCAAUUACCAAAAAAAUAUAUAUAUGUUGUCGACAUCAGCCCUAAAAAACCUAUAUUGGUUAGUCCCUAUUUCUAUCACCCCCACUACCCCCACACUCUUUCUAUUCCCACUUUCCUUCACCCCCCUAAAAAAACAAAAAAUAAACUAAAAAUAAAACAAAAAAAAUCAUAUAAUAUUUCUGUAUAUGUGUGUAUCAGAUCUGAAGACUUCAUGUCUCAUUUCAGAGUUUUCAGGUUUUUGAAGAUUCUGAAAAUGAGCUGAGUUUGAAUUAUUUUCAGAUGGUGCUGCUUCUAAAUAUUCCAAGGAUUAUUUUCAGAGGAGACUAUCUUAAAUAAUCAAGUUUUAGUUUGAAGAGGAAUUUCUGACAGUUCAUUGUUUUUAUGAGUCUUCACAAAUAAUCAGAAUUUUUACUUUUAAUAAUGUUGGAUUUAUUUUGGAGUGUUUUAUGCUGUGAUUAGUCCUGCUGUUUUAUUCUGGAAAAUAUGAGUAUUCUGUACUUUUAUAAUAUCCUGUGCAAUAUUAUUCUGUAUACAUAUGAGGAGGAUUUAUGCUACAUAGGUAUUUUUCUGCUUAAAUAAAAUCUGUGCAAUAUAGAUAAUAAUUUGUGCAAUAUUAAUACUUAUGUCAACAUUUCCAUUUGUGAAAGAAUCUGUUUAAUACCACUGGCAUGUGCAAUAAUGUUCUAUAAUCAGUACUUAUGUAUAUCUUGUAUUGUUGAGUUUUUUUUUUAAAUUUCUGUAUUAGUUUUUCCUCCAAGACUGUUCAUUCCUCAAUUUGUGUAUUCAGAAAUCACAGCAACAUAAAAUCAGGUUAUUUAAUAUAGUGUUAACCGUUCCUGCUCAGCUGCCCGACUGUGGUCAGAAAGCACAGGGGAGGUCGGUUCUCCAGGGCCGAAGUUACCUUAGUUCACUUCGGGGUUAACCCCCUUCACUUCACCAGCGGUUAUGGAAGGCAAAACACAGGAGCCCAGCCUUGUCUGAGAAUGCUGCAGCCUUUAAUUGUAAACUGACUGUGGAAUACCGUACAGUUGCACUAACACAGAAGCUACACUUCUUAACUCUUCUUCUCUUAACCCUUUAAGACCCACCAUUGUGCAAGUCCGCCUGGACAUAUUUUUACAUUUUUACAUGUUGUAGUGCCAUUUUUUGGAGUGUUUUUAUUUGCUUUACAUCAAAAUAACCCUGAUAUCCCAAAUUUUAAUAAUAUGUAUUGACUUAUGUCUUAACUACUACAAUAAAUUGCUUAAAAGUGCAAUAAACCUUAAAAAAAUGAAAAUCGUUUUUGUUUUUUUCACAUAUAUUUCUAAAUACAGAAAUUGCAUAGCUGUAUCCCUCAAAUUUGUAAAUGUAAAAAAGUUGCACAAUAUCCUUUGGAACCACAGGAAAUUUUUUUGGAGUCUGUAAAUAAUUUGCUUUUUGAGAUAUGAUCAAUUUUGUAACCUGUAAAAAAAAAAACGAAAAUAAACAAAACUGCAAAAUUUGCAAAGAGACAACAUCAACAUCAAAACAAAUUAUUUACAAUAGUGCAAUCAAAUUUCUGUGUGCCAGAUACUUAUGAACACAUAUUUUAUGUACAAAACCAUGGUCAGACCAUAAAAAGUGCAUUUGAAAAUAAAAGAAAAUCGUUUUUACUGAGUUGAAUCAGAAACAGUAUUUUGAUGGUCUCCUGGUCCAAGUACUUGGACAGGUCUGAUGGAGAAGGGCUGUCCAUUACUUUCUUUACUUUUCUCCAACUCAAAACAAACAACUUCUCAUGAAUACAGACUUACAUAUCACUGGAAUGAUCAAUUCCUUCGAUAAGAUCGGCUUCAUCCGCGCUGGUGGCAGAAUCCGGGCCAGACGAGUGGCUGGACUCUUCAUCCAACGCUGUAGUUUGCUGGAGAGCUUCGCGCCAGAUGUAAAAUAGUUUGGCACGACCAGGUUUUCGCAGCUCCUCAACUAAUGUGUGGAAGUGUGUCAAAGGUUUGUGUGGUGGGUCCGUGUACGGAUCUGGUAAUUGGAUUUUCCGUUCUGAAACGGGUAUUGAAAAACAAAAAACGAGUGGUUAUUGAUUUUCGUUUUAAAAUACAAAAAUUAAAAUUGAAAUACAAGGCGUUUUUCCUUUUCAUGAUCAAAAAGGGGUAUACGAUUUUUUUUUUAAAAAAUGCUUUGAUUUUCGUUUUAUAUUUAGAAUAACAAGAAAGUAAAAUCAGUAAGAGACAGAAACGAAAAAAGGUCCGUUUUUUUCCAUUUUCUGGGACCGGAAGUGGUCAUCAGCAAGUGUGGAGCCAAACAGAGUACGGUGCAUAGACUGUACAUACAUUUUUUUUCGUGAGUUGUCAUGGUCAUGGUAUAGAGCGUUAAAGUUUUGCGAAUCCAGGGGGCGGGACUACUUGAUUGACAGUCCGGUCUGGAAUGAGUGACAGGUCCUAUGGAGGAGGCAGCAGAGACUCUGUUCUCCUCGUUUGGAUUAAUUCUGAUAUAAUAACUGUUGGUUUAUUUAUCGGUGCAGCAGCAGAACCUUUUCCACAGACAGUUUUCCUGCCCGUUGGCUUGUUUUAACCAGUUUUCUACCUUCGGCUGAUUCUACCAGCAGACACAGAAAGGACUCUGAUAGUUCGGUAAGUAAAUGUUUAUUUUCGUAUCGGUGCCGCUUUUAAUGCACUUUAUAUGCAGCUUUAGUGUCAGAUGUAAUGUGUGUCAUGCACUCCAGAUGUUGGUAGAGUUUGUUUCAGUGUGUGUUGACCAGAGAAGAAAGUUAGCAUAGUAAAUAUUAGCUUUAAUGUUAGCAAUGCUAACCGAGCUAGCUGCUCAGUCGUAUAGCCUGAUUAAAGCUAACGUAGCAUCAAGCUAAUGUGUUGAGUUUCAUGUAAACAGUUGAAGUGUGUUGUGUUCCUGUAAUGUGCUUCAUUAAGUUCAUAAAACUGUGGCUGGUUGACAUUAAUGUAACAUUCAGGAAACUUAAAUGUGAUUAAAACAGUAACAUUAAUGUUCUAGUUGUCAGUAAUCAGCUUUAAUAUGACACUAAAACAGACUAAUAGUUUUAAAUUACAUCAGUUUCAUUAAUUUGUUGAAAAUUGUCUCAUUUGUUGUUGUGAUGUUGCUGCUGAUUCAUUAAAAGCAGAUGAUCCAUGUUGAAGAUACGUUUAGUUCUAGUAUCAGAAGUACAAGAAGAAAAAUGGAAGUUUAGUUCUGCUACAUCAAAGAUUUCAGGAUUAAAAUAACUAAAUGAGUCUUUAUACCUCAAACUUUAUUUUUACAAUAAAGAAAUAAUGAAAUAAUCACAGAUAAUAAAAAUAUAAAUAGCAGAGAAAACCUGAGAGAAUAAUUUCCUGAAAAGUCUGUGAAGGAAAAGCAGCUUUUUAUCCUGAAAGAUCAGAAUCAGCUCCAACAUCUGCAUCUGACAGCAUCAAGUCAACCAGAAAGAAAAGAAAAAAGGAAAUGACUUCUUUCUGAUCACAUCUGUUCCGCUGCUCACAGUCUGCUGCUGCUCACAUUCUUCACAUUUAUAGUCCACUUUUAAAAGUUCAGCAGACAGGUCCUCUGCUUUGGAGUGUGACGAUGUCGUCGGCGGUGGGGAGAGUGAAGUUUCUGUUUCACCCACAGCAUGCUUUAGGGCAGCCAGGUCGGACUUGAUGUUUGAAAUACUGACCGACAGCUCAGAUUUAACUGUCUGUAGUUCUGUUUUGAUGGGUAUUAAACUUUCUUUCAAAGUCAACAGGAGCUGGGUCUUUAAAAUAACCGCCGUCUCGUUACAGAGUGAAAGCAGCAGUUCCUCCUUAAGGUCAGAGAUUGCAGCAUCUGAGGGCCUCUUCAAAAGAAGACGUAGUUGAUGAAGGCAUUCUGGAGCAGGACCAGAAAGACCACAACCAAGCAGCCUUGAGAUCUUAGGCAGCGUCUCUCUCGGCCACCAACCACUGGAACACAUCUCCAAAGUUCUGCUGGGCCAGCUCAACUUCCCCUCAGAAGAAGUGCUGCCACCUGCCAGAUGAAGGAGCCUUUUGAGAGGCAGCUGGCAUCGUGAUUGGACUGUACUUUGGUCUGUUCCAAUCCAGCUUCAGCUCCAGAGACGGCAGGCGGGACAAGUCAACGGAGGCCAGGUGGACGGAGGCAUGCAGCUGAGUCGAAAAAAAAUGUGAUUUUUAACAUGUUGUAAAAACGUGUCAUAUGAUGAAAUAAUGUAAAGGAGGCUGUGAAAAACACUCCAGAGAGAUUUUCUUUGAAAAAAAAAAUCAUCAUGAAUUUUGGCGCAAAAAAACGCCAUAGUAUAUACUAUGUUGAAAAAUUUGAUUUUUCAACAUGUUGUGAAAACAUGCCGUAUGAUGAAAUAAUGUAAAGCAGGCUGUGAAAAACACUCCAGAAAGGUUUUCUUUGAAAAAAAAAUCAUCAUGAAUUGUGGCGCAAAAAAACGCCAUAGUAUACUAUGUUGAAAAACAAAUGCGAUUUUUCAACAUGUGGUAAAAACGUGCCAUAUGAUGAAAUAAUAUAAAUUAGGCCGUGAAAACACUGCAGAAAGGUUUUCUUUGAAAAAAAUAUCAUGAAUUUUGGCGCAAAAAAACGCCUUACUAUACUAUGUCGAAAAAUGUAAUUUUUCAACAUGUCGAAAAAUGUCACUUUUCAACAUGUUGUGAAAACAUGCCGUAUGAUGAAAUAAUGUAAAGGAGGCCAUGAAAAACACUUCAGAAAGGUUUUCUUUGAAAAAAAAACAUGAAUUUUGGUGCAAAAAAACGCCACAGUAUACUGUCGAAAAAUGUCAUUUUUCAACAUGUUGUGAAAACAUGCCAUAUGAUGAAAUAAUGUAAAGGAGGCCGUGAAAAACACUCCAGAAAGGUUUGCUUUGAAAAAAAAAUCAUCAUGAAUUUUGGCACAAAAAAACGCCAUAGUAUACUAUGUCGAAAAAUGUCACUUUUCAACAUAUUCUGAAAACAUGCCAUAUGAUGAAAUAAUGUAAAGCAGGCUGUGAAAAACACUUCAGAAAGGUUUUCUUUGAAAAAAAAAAUCAUGAAUUUUGGCGCAAAAAAAAACUCCAUAGUAUACUAUGUCGAAAAAUGUCGUUUUUCAACAUGUUGUGAAAACAUGCCAUAUGAUGAAAUAAUGUAAAAGAGGCCGUGAAACACACUCCAGAAAGGUUUUCUUUGAAAAAAAAUCAACAUGAAUUUUGGCGCAAAAAAAAAACGCCAUAGUAUACUAUGUCGAAAAAAAAUGCGAUUUUUCAAGAUAUUGUAAAAACGUGCCAUAUGAUGAAAUAAUGUAAAGGAGACCAUGAAAAACACUAUGGUAAGGUUCCCGUUGACAAAAAAAUUAUCAUGAAUUUUGGCGCAAAAAAACGCCAUAGUAUACUAUGUCGAAAAAAAAAUGCGAUUUUUCAACAUGUUGUAAAAACGUGCCAUAUGAUGAAAUAAUGUCAAGGAGGCCGUGAAAAACACUCCAGAAAGGUUUUCUUUGAAAAAAAAUCAUCAUGAAUUUUGGCGCAAAAAAACGCCAUAGUAUAUACUAUGUCGAAAAAUGUCAUUUUUCAACACUAAAUCUUAUUGAAAAAUAUGUUUUACUGAAGUCCACCUCUUUCAGCCAUCUCUACCCCUCAUUAGAUACCACUCUAAGGUACAUUAUACAAAAAAAAUCCAGUAGAUGUCAGUGUUUUGAAAUAGCAUGCAGAGCAAGUUAGUCUGCUCACAGGAAGUUAGCACGAGCAAAAUCACUCCUCGCAUCAGGACUCUGUUUGCUGUGAUUUUCAAAGGUGAAGUAAUACUUUUGACAUAUUAUGGUGCCUAAGGAGUUGCUGAACACAAAUGUGUCAUUUGAAAUGUAAAAAAAAAAAGAUUUAAAAGGGUAAAAUAAUUUUUCUCAACCGUUUGGUAGAGGUCAAUAUUUUAAAAAUUGGUGGGUCUCUUCAUUAAAAAAAACCAUUGAUUGUUGUUAUUAGUGCCCCAAAGAGAUAAGAAAUACAAAGAAAUAAUUUUUCAUUGCCUUUUUCUUGGUGAGGAUGUUUAAGGGUUAACUUAACAUCUGUAAACAAAACAAAAACGUAUCAACAAAGUUUUCUGUUAGAGUUUGUGUUCUUGUAAGUUUAAAUCCAAGAUUUUAAAUACUUUCAUUUACUGCAAAUUAAUAUUGACUCCAAAUGUCACACUAAUAAUCAUUAUCAGCCUUAAAAACCCACAAAACACCCCUCUAUACUCGACCACACUUAGUACAGUCCGGUUCCCCCUUCUAUAAAUCUGCUUGGAAUCUUCCACUUCCUGUUUGUCAAAGUGGCCUUCUACCUGGACAGGUUUUGUUGGAGCUCAUGCAACAAGCAUUUUGGGUAACUGCACUUUAAUAUAAAUGGAUGAUACUGAAUUAGAGUCUGUUUUAAUGAGACUGAGUUAAGAUGUGUAGCUCUGUCAUUAAAUAGUAAAUUAUUUCCCAGAAUUCACAGAGAAAGGUCUGAAAUGUUUGCUAGGUUAGUGUCCCACAUGUUCUCUGGCUCAGCUAAAGCUAACUCUCUCCAACUUCUGGAUCUCUUGAGUUGCUUGUUGUUAAAAUAUCUUGCUAGAGGUGCUGAAGCUCAGAAAGUCUGAGAUGUUUGUUCAGAAUGAGCUCAUUCUCAAGUCUUAUCUGAACUGUCCUCUUUUGUUUGAACUUGCCCUAAACUUAGGAGUUAAUGACAGAGCAGCACAUUCAGGCUCAGUCUCAUUUAUGUAGCGAUUAAACUUCAGUGUCAUUCAUUGAUGUUAAAGUGCAGUUUUUCAAAUGUUGGUUGCACAUGCUCCCGACCAAACCAGUCCAGGUGGAAGACGAUGUGAAGAGAAAGCUCCAGAGGAUGAAUAUCACACAUUUACGUUGGAAAUAAAUGUCCUUUAAUUAGACAUUGUCAUGCAAAAGUUGGAUUUCCCUUUAAUGAUGUUCAAAUCUUUGUUGAGUGUUUUGUUGAUGUUGGCUUCUAAAUGUUUUUUGACACUCGGCCCCAAAGAUUAAAACCUUUUCCGGCGCACAAGCUGCAACAAUUCACACAUUAUCAACUAUCUUUCUGACUAAACUAAGAUAAAAAGUGAAAAACUGCCUGAUUCCUGCAUCAUGAAUGUAAAUCUUUUUGGUUUUUAUGAUGGUAAACUGAAUAUAUUUGGGUUUGACAUUUUAUAAACCAAAACAAGAAAUGAAUUACUGCAGAAAACAAUCAACAGAUUAAUGGACAAAGAAAAUGUGUUUUCCAACAUAUAUGGCUGAAUUACUCCAACAUUACAAGAUACAUACAAUUUAAAUUUAGUUUUAUUUAUAUAACGCCAAUUACAGGUCAAAUUGUCUCAAGACGCUUUAUUUUUAUAUUUUUUUUUGUCAUAUUUAAAAUAUGACAAAGUAAGAAAUUUAAACCUCUUGACUAAUCCAAUUUAUUAUUUGGUUUUUAAGAGACAAAUCGACAACUAAAAUAAGUUUCUCCACAAAAACUAAUAAAUAUGAGGUCGAAUAGAAGGAACAGUUUUAAAUACUGCAUUCCCACGAUGACAAGAAUAAAGUUUGUCAACAAAAAGUAAAUCUGCUGGUGGAUUCCAUUAAAGUCCUAAUAAAUGAUAAUAAAGUGUGAUACUAAAGAUUUGUGGUGCUAAAAAUCUCCAAGUAAAGAUAUCAAGUUGAGCAUUUGGAUGGAGGUUGAUAAAAGUUGACCUCCCUUCAUUUCUCUGGAACCGACUCCAUGGAUUUUAUGGAUGGUGGUUAAAGCCCUGCUCUUCUAGUGGUCUUCCUUCUAGUCGCUGUGAAAAGUCAGUCCAUCCUGGCCGACUUCAACACCUCUUCAUGACAGCUUGUUCUGCCUCCGACCUCGUGGAAACUCCAGAAACUCGGGAAAACCCAUGGAGACUCGAAGAACUCGUGGAGACUCGAAAAACUCGUCGGGCGGGGGAAGGUGUGGUGGGUGGUGGUGGGCGGUGGGGGAGUAGAGGGGGGAGGCCACCACCCACCUCCCCGCCUACUCUCCGCCCUGACUCCACCCAGACUCCGCCUAGGCCCAGCCCAUGUGGUCACUUCAGGAACUACGAUGCCAAAGGGACGACGAAUUUAUUUCUUUUCAUCUGAUCUGUAGCUCAGUGAGUUAAGGAUUUGCCUAUGGAGCUGCAGGUCGCUGGUUCAAGACCAGACACUUCUUAAGUUUUAUCAAAAUCCUGACAAAGACAAAGAAAGAAAAGUGCCAGUGGUGGGACUUGAACCUGCGACCUUCCACUUUGUAGUCUAUCCUCUUAACCCCCUGAGCUACUUGCUCAGAUACUAAUUCUUCUUUUUUUUGCGCAUUUAUCAUCUAUUUUUUGUCUCUUUCGGUUUUUUUUUUUAACACGAGUCUCGACUCGACCGUUUUUCUCAGGAGGUUGGACUUCAGCCUUUGUGCUGGAGGGUUGAACCCUCAGUUCCAAGACUUUCCAAAGCCUCCACACCUCCCCAGUCCUCAGGACCUGAGCUUUCACACAGUCUGAGGGCUGAAAUUUUCUAAGUCCCACAGUAGAUCUGUUAGUUUGAACCUUCAGACAGUCCAAGGACUGAAAUCCUCUAAGUUCCUGAGUAGUUCUCUGUUAGUUUGAACCUUCAGACAGUCCAAGGACUGAAAUCCUCUAAGUUCCUGAGUAGUUCUCUGUUAGUUUGAACCUUCAGACAGUCUGAGGACUGAAAUCUUAAAAGUUUCUCAGUACUUCUCUGUUAGUUUGAACCUUCAGACAGUCUGAGGACUGAAAUUAUCAAAGUUUCUCAGUACUUCUCUGUUAGUUUGAACUUUCUGGUUAACAGAAGCCUUAAAACUUGUGACCAUGAGUCUUCAUUUCACAUUUAGACCAUCCAUCUGAGUUCUUCUCAGACCUUCACCUGUGGGUUUUUUAGAAAUCCUGAACAAACUUUGAUUCUCUUCACUGAACAGUAAAGUUUGUGGAGAUCAAAAGGUAACAUUAGUUUGAUCAAUGCCUUCAACUACUAGUAGACUUUAUCUGGAAAGCAGUUUUCUGAAAUGAGUUCUUAGUAAUUCUGUCCACAAUCAAACCAAGAACAUAGAAAGAGGAAAUGUUUGAAGAAACAACUUGAUGUUUUCGUUUCAGACUAGAAAACGCUUUUAGACCUUUAUCUGUUUUUGCUCUUUUUGAUCGUUUUGUCUCUUCUGUUUAAUUUGAUCUUCUAAAGUCUAACUGGUGUCUUUUCAAAUGUUUUUUCUUUAGUUUGCUUCUUCUUAAACAUUUAGUUUUGCUCUUUUCUCACCUUUUAUUCUUUUCUAAUGUCUGAUUUGAUUUUGAAAUGUUUUGUCUUUUUAAUGUUUAAUUGUUUUUUCAAAUGUUUUAUCGGCUUGUUUGAAUUUUUUUCUUUCCCAAUAUUUAAUUUUUUGAUUAAAUCUUUAAGGUUUUUCUUUUUAAAUGUUUUACCACCUUUUAAUGUUUAAUUUUCUUUUUAAAUGCUUCAUUGUAUUUUCUGUUUAAUUCCUAUUUGAAGUUUUAUUGUCUUUAAGAUGUAAUUUUCUAAUUAAACAUUUAACUUUUUAA